GUGACCACAAGAGUCACAUCCAAAUGUAAUGAGACACACCCACUAAUCAGACGAAUCUUUUGAACAGCUACGAGGAUGCACAUGGACCGAUGCUACAGAACAAUGGAGAACCUGUACAGUGUGAGAUGUUUGAAGGAGCAGACCUACCUGUGUGGGCACCAAGACCGGUGGAUAUGCCAGCUUGUGAUGCCGGUACAUCCAGAAGGAGAGGAGGGCGAUGGCGGCAAUGCCCAUGAUAGGCACCAAGGAGUAGAGGAGGGUGCUAAACAGCGACGGCUUCUGGGUAAAAGGGUUUGAGGUGGCUGGGGAAAAAAUAAAGUACACAAAAAGAA